UUACUUACCUGGCAGGGGAGAUACCAUGAUCACGAAGGUGGUUUUCCCAGGGCGAGGCUUAUCCAUUGCACUCCAGAUGUGCUGACCCCUGCGAUUUCCCCAAAUGCGGGAAACUCGACUGCAUAAUUUGUGGUAGUGGGGAACUGCGUUUGCGCUCUCCCCUG
ensembl:snRNA U1 U1 spliceosomal RNA